rnacentral:rRNA from 1 species
CCUACGGGGGGCAGCAGUGAGGAAUAUUGGUCAAUGGUCGGGAGACUGAACCAGCCAAGCCGCGUGAGGGAGGAAGGUACAGAGUAUCGUACACCUCUUUUGUCAGGGAACAAAGGCGGGGACGUGUCCCCGGAUGAGUGUACCUGAAGAAAAAGCAUCGGCUAACUCCGUGCCCGCAGCCGCGGUAAUACGGGGGAUGCGAGCGUUAUCCGGAUUUGUUGGGUUUAAAGGGUGCGCAGGCGGUCUGUUAAGUCAGCGGUCAAAGCCCGGGGCUCAACCCCGGCCCGCCGUUGAAACUGGCAGUCUCGAGUUGGAGAGAAGUAUGCGGAAUGCGCGGUGUAGCGGUGAAAUGCAUAGAUAUCGCGCAGAACUCCGAUUGCGAAGGCAGCAUGCCGGCUCCACACUGACGCUGAGGCACGAAAGCGUGGGUAUCGAACAGGAUUAGAUACCCUAGUAGUC